rnacentral:lncRNA from 1 species
GGCUGCAUUCUGUCCCCUGUGUGAUCCUCGGGCAGUGAACUGAGCUGCCUGGCUGGGUAGCUGAAGGCCUGACCAAGACCCUGUUGCAGUUCCCAUGGGGUGGGCUCUUCCACCUACCUGACUGAGGCAGGCCCCCUAGCCCACCCUAGUCCAGAAAUGUCCCAAGCAGAGUCUCUUGAGGUCUGUCCUGAGGAGGCAGCUAGAGGCAAGGGGCAUGCCUUCCUGUUCCAGCUGCAUAGCCAGCUAGCUCUACCGUUCAGCCACAUUCAUGCAUCUAGGGCCUCUGGGCCUGACAUGUGGACAGGAAAGAGAAAUCCCACAUGGAGCCAGACUCUGGGGCUUAUGAGGAAGCGAGGGCCAGAUUAUGAACAAAGCACACACGUGGGGUUGCCAUUUUAAGUCAGGCGGUGCUGACAUCUGAGGACAACUGCAGGAGAUUCUUCCUGAAAAUUUAUGUUGCCGGAUGAGGAAGCAAAGUCAAGUAAUGAAUUAACUUUCCUGGUGCAGAGGCCCAGAUUGGAAUUCCAGUAAAUUUGACUUUAUCUACGUAAA